UCUAAAAGUCUACGUGCUGCAGGGACUCACAAAAGCACAUAUGUUGUAUUAUUCCUUCAGCUUAACAUUUUCAACCUUGCAAAUCUAUGCUCUUUAUCUAUCUGAAGCCUACGUUAGCACAUGCAGGUGGUGUAGGGAAAACUCUCUGGUCCUGGGAUGUUGACUCCUUUUAUUCAACUGCUGGAGUUGUUUUCAGGAAGCUAAGUAUUAAGUAUUUUUCUAAUAUUAUUUUUCUAUAUAGACAUCACUGCAAUUGCCACAGGGAUGAUAGUCACUUGCCACUGGGAAUUAAAGAUGAGCAGAAAGAAGGUGUCCAAAAAAAGUCCAUGUUAUAUAAUAUCCAGAGAACCUAUGACCCACGUAACAUAAAUAGCCUAUGUAAAGCCAAGUGAAUGGAAUGGUUGCAAAUAAAUGUAUCACACGGUAGAUGAGCAGAGAUGAUGUGGGUAUUGUCUUGCUCCUGAAACUUUCAUCUGUGACAGUGCAGCAAUUUCUUGAGCAACAAGAAGUGCUUCAAUCUUUGUAAACACUUUUGAGUUCAGGCCUAUGAACGCAGAACAAAUCAAGACUGAAGAUGAGAGUUGGAGGUUGGCGGUGCUCACUUUCCUUUUCCUUCCCCAGCCUGUGGCACUAGCACAUCUCUGCAGAGCUGUGCUUGUGCCUGCACUCACUCCUGGCAAAGGAAAUCUGGCAGAAGCAGGUGAAAACAAGAGCCAGGCACACACAGGCAUCAGUGGGAUGGACGCCUGUCAUGGCAGAGGAACGCUACCUUGGUCUCAGCAUCCCAACAUGCUCGUGAGGACAUGGAGGACACAGAGAGGAACAGAACAAUUUUUUCACUGUUCUUGGCAUGGCAAAAUGUAGCCUUAUUGACUCCACUGUGAAGCCUCGAGUCCUGUCAAAGAUCUGCCCAUAAAACACAGAAACUCCCCAGCCUGGCAUGGAGGAUGGGGAGCAGGGUAUGUAGUUAAAGACUGCUGGAAGAGGAGGAAGAGCUUGCUUUCCUCCAGUGGUACCAAAGGGAGGAGCUGUGAGGAUACUCUCCUCUCCCAAGCCUGACAGGUGAGGAUGUUCUCCCUCUACUGUCACCUGGGUGCUAAAAUCUUCCCUGCCUCUCUCCCCUCUCAUUUUAAUCCCUGUAUAAAGGGGACUCUUGCUUUCCAUUUUCAGCCUGCUGGGGUGCAGCUGAGCAGUAGGAGCACUGCCCCAGCGGCCUCAAGGCUCUAUCCCAAAGGGUGCUGCUCCAAACCACAGUGGGGGGACAGGCACAGGUGCCACCCAACUUGCAGUAAUGCACAGCACCUUUUCUCACUUCACCUUUAUUAGUUUUGGAAGGGUUUAAACCAAAAUCACCCAGUAUCAGCAGAAUGCCUUCUACAGGUGGACUGUUUUGGGGUAAUACCAAGCAGGUUUUAUAGGUACUGAACUGAGCAGAGGGCCUGGCUGUGAUCUAGAUGUCAGUACAUUAUGAAAAAACAUGUAUCUCUAUUCCUUGUGAUUCCUUGGACAUAUCAAUUCUAUUCCUACUCACUCACCAUAUCUGUAGUUCCUAUUUCUAUAAUUUUCCUCGUAUUCUCUGUUCUAUCUUCUGCACUCUCCCCCAAGCUGAUGGUUUUCAGUCUUUCUACCUUGUGUAAGUUUUGUUACAAAGCAGUGGUUCAAAGUUAUGUUCCUAGAAUAUCAACAGAAAAAGUAAUAAAAGCCACCAAAAAAAGAGGAAAAUGCCAUUUAUGCUUAUCUAUAAACCAUGUGUCAAUACCUUAGUUAUUAUGAAACAGGGUUUGUUCAUACUUCAGUUUAUAGCAACUUCUUUCUUUAUACUAUGCUAUAAUUCGUUUGGCUGUAGUCUAAUAAAAAAUGUGUGUGUGUGCAUGUCUGUGUGUGUGUCUGUGUUUUUUAGGAUCUGUGGUUAUGCAAUCUUUUGGGAAAAGUUAAGAUAUACAGCCUGUUUGUAAUAAACAGUGCCGCAGCUUAAUUUACUUAUUCUGUGUUCUUACUUUAAAGAUCUAAACAGAGCCUCACAUGCAGUAGACUUCUGUUUCACUCAUUGCCUCUUACAGGAGAUGAAUGGUGUAUUCAGAGGAGGAUUCAGGCUUCAUUUAGACCCUGCUUCAUGACAUCCAAGACUUUUUGAUAUAACUGUGGAAUGGAAAAAAACAUCUGGACUGGAAAAGCAUUGUGGGAGAUGAUCAAAUGCUGGUAAAGAACCACAACUGACUGGCUGAAGUAUAAAAAUUGCUGAAGGGCAUUUUCUAUCACACUAUAGGCAGCUGCACACAAAAUUGAUGGAAAAUUAACUUUCCAAGG